UUUAAUGGCUAAGUGGUAGGUGGUGUUGUACCACCACUCUGCCAGGAGUAACCAGGAAACCUCAGUCAGAAGGCUUUUCACCUGUCAUACAGCUUAAGUAACCCUCUAAACACUUGUUUAGAACCUCUAUCUAGCCACCACAACUUUCCCCAACCUUCAAAGCAACCAACCAUCCCAAGAGUAUUUAGGGUGAAGCUGGGUUGAUGUUAGAGUUCCUGGCACAACUGUUGCAACUUGGUAUCUUCUUCAUAAGAAUCCACAAUUUGACCCCAUAGCUCAAACCAAGAAAGGCUUAUAUUUCCCACACACUGGAAAAAUUGGUGAUUUUGUUCAUGAGGCA
rnacentral:lncRNA from 1 species